GAUGAACGCUGUCUACAGGCUUAACACAUGCAAGUCGAGGGGAAACGACGGGGAAGCUUGCUUCCCCGGGCGUCGACCGGCGCACGGGUGAGUAACGCGUAUCCAACCUGCCUCUGACUGAGGGAUAACCCGUCGAAAGUCGGCCUAAUACCUCAUGGCAUCGUCUGCGGGCAUCCAACGACGAUUAAAGAUUUCAUCGGUCAGGGAUGGGGAUGCGUCUGAUUAGCUUGUUGGCGGGGUAACGGCCCACCAAGGCUACGAUCAGUAGGGGUUCUGAGAGGAAGGUCCCCCACAUUGGAACUGAGACACGGUCCAAACUCCUACGGGAGGCAGCAGUGAGGAAUAUUGGUCAAUGGGCGGGAGCCUGAACCAGCCAAGUAGCGUGCAGGAUGACGGCCCUAUGGGGUGUAAACUGCUUUUAUGCGGGGAUAAAGUGAGGGACGUGUCCUUCAUUGCAGGUACCGCAGGAAUAAGGACCGGCUAAUUCCGU
rnacentral:rRNA from 1 species